rnacentral:rRNA from 1 species
GACGAACGCUGGCGGCGUGCUUAACACAUGCAAGUCGAACGGAAAGGCCCUGCUUUUGUGGGGUGCUCGAGUGGCGAACGGGUGAGUAACACGUGAGUAACCUGCCCUUGACUUUGGGAUAACUUCAGGCAACUGGGGCUAAUACCGGAUAGGAGCUACUGCUGCAUGGUGGGGGUUGGAAAGUUUCGGCGGUUGGGGAUGGACUCGCGGCUUAUCAGCUUGUUGGUGGGGUAGUGGCUUACCAAGGCUUUGACGGGUAGCCGGCCUGAGAGGGUGACCGGCCACAUUGGGACUGAGAUACGGCCCAGACUCCUACGGGAGGCAGCAGUGGGGAAUAUUGCACAAUGGGCGGAAGCCUGAUGCAGCAACGCCGCGUGCGGGAUGACGGCCUUCGGGUUGUAAACCGCUUUCGCCUGUGACGAAGCGUGAGUGACGGUAAUGGGUAAAGAAGCACCGGCUAACUACGUG